AUUGAACGCUGGCGGCAGGCUUAACACAUGCAAGUCGAGCGGGGAAGGGUAGCUUGCUACCUGACCUAGCGGCGGACGGGUGAGUAAUGCUUAGGAAUCUGCCUAUUAGUGGGGGACAACAUUCCGAAAGGAAUGCUAAUACCGCAUACGCCCUACGGGGGAAAGCAGGGGAUCUUCGGACCUUGCGCUAAUAGAUGAGCCUAAGUCAGAUUAGCUAGUUGGUGGGGUAAAGGCCUACCAAGGCGACGAUCUGUAGCGGGUCUGAGAGGAUGAUCCGCCACACUGGGACUGAGACACGGCCCAGACUCCUACGGGAGGCAGCAGUGGGGAAUAUUGGACAAUGGGCGAAAGCCUGAUCCAGCCAUGCCGCGUGUGUGAAGAAGGCCUUUUGGUUGUAAAGCACUUUAAGCGAGGAGGAGGCUACCGAGAUUAAUACUCUUGGAUAGUGGACGUUACUCGCAGAAUAAGCACCGGCUAACUCUGUGCCAGCCGCCGCGGUAAUAC
rnacentral:rRNA from 1 species